GCGCCCGUAGCUCAAUUGGAUAGAGCGCUUGACUACGGAUCAAGAGGUUAGGGGUUCGACUCCUCUCGGGCGCACCA
rnacentral:tRNA from 1 species